UGGCAUGCGCGUGCUAUACAUGCAGUCGAGCGGACCAGAGAUUCGGAGCUUGCUCUGGUUUGGUCAGCGGCGGACGGGUGAGUAACACGUGGGCAACCUGCCCGCAAGACCGGGAUAACUCCGGGAAACCGGAGCUAAUACCGGAUAACACCGAAGACCGCAUGGUCUUUGGUUGAAAGGCGGCCUUUGGCUGUCACUUGCGGAUGGGCCCGCGGCGCAUUAGCUAGUUGGUGAGGUAACGGCUCACCAAGGCGACGAUGCGUAGCCGGCCUGAGAGGGUGACCGGCCACACUGGGACUGAGACACGGCCCAGACUCCUACGGGAGGCAGCAGUAGGGAAUCUUCCGCAAUGGGCGAAAGCCUGACGGAGCGACGCCGCGUGAGCGAAGAAGGCCUUCGGGUCGUAAAGCUCUGUUGUGAGGGACGAAGGAGCGCCGUUCGAAGAGGGCGGCGCGGUGACGGUACCUCACGAGGAAGCCCCGGCUAACUACGUGCCAGCAGCCGCGGUAAUACGUAGGGGGCGAGCGUUGUCCGGAAUUAUUGGGCGUAAAGCGCGCGCAGGCGGUCCCUUAAGUCUGAUGUGAAAGCCCACGGCUCAACCGUGGAGGGUCAUUGGAAACUGGGGGACUUGAGUGCAGGA
rnacentral:rRNA from 1 species